AGAAAACAUAACGACGAUGAUUCC
rnacentral:siRNA from 1 species